GUCAAGCCUUUGUGGGAAUGCUUGACGGAUGAACAAAGCACUUUGGCAGGAGUGGAAAGAUAUGUGGCGACACAUUCCAGAAGGCAUUCCGUGAGUGGACGUACUGGCAGUUUGAAAUAGACAAGCUUUGUGGAAGCAAUCUCCUCCAUUGUCCUGCCUGCUCACAGGAGAUGCAUGCUAUAUCAGUGGAUGGGAAUCACAAUCAAUACCGCUUCCGGAGAGCCUCAGGGUUUGGAGCCCACUCUAAAGAUGAACCCUUUAUCCUGACACCUCUGG